rnacentral:rRNA from 1 species
UACGGAGGGUGCAAGCGUUAUCCGGAUUUAUUGGGUUUAAAGGGUCCGUAGGCGGAUCUGUAAGUCAGUGGUGAAAUCUCACAGCUUAACUGUGAAACUGCCAUUGAUACUGCAGGUCUUGAGUGUUAUUGAAGUAGCUGGAAUAAGUAGUGUAGCGGUGAGAUGCAUAGAUAUUACUUAGAACACCAAUUGCGAAGGCAGGUUACUAAGCAACAACUGACGCUGAUGGACGAAAGCGUGGGGAGCGAACAGG